AGUGAACGCUGGCGGUAGGCCUAACACAUGCAAGUCGAACGGCAGCACAGUAAGAGCUUGCUCUUACGGGUGGCGAGUGGCGGACGGGUGAGGAAUACAUCGGAAUCUACUUUUUCGUGGGGGAUAACGUAGGGAAACUUACGCUAAUACCGCAUACGACCUACGGGUGAAAGCAGGGGAUCUUCGGACCUUGCGCGAUUGAAUGAGCCGAUGUCGGAUUAGCUAGUUGGCGGGGUAAAGGCCCACCAAGGCGACGAUCCGUAGCUGGUCUGAGAGGAUGAUCAGCCACACUGGAACGGAGACACGGUCCAGACUACUGCGGGAGGCAGCAGUGGGGAAUAUUGGACAAUGGGGGCAAGCCUGAUCCAGCCAUACCGCGUGGGUGAAGAAGGCCUUCGGGUUGUAAAGACCUUUUGUUGGGAAAGAAACGCAGCAGGUUAAUACCCCGCUGUUCUGACGGUACCCAAAGAAUAAGCACCGGCUAACUUCGUG
rnacentral:rRNA from 1 species